rnacentral:lncRNA from 1 species
UUUUGUAAUCAUCAAAAUCAAUCUAGGGAGCAACAUCAAUGUAUUUCAAUUUAGUAAAACUUUAGCCAGGGUAACCCAUGUGAUAGAUUUGAAAGGUUGAAAUACAAUAUGAUUGACUUAAUUAGGGUUGAUAGUUAAAUCCUAGAUCACCUUAAAUAUUUGGGUCAAAGAAAUGAAUUAUACGGUAACCAUAUGCCAGUAGAUUCUAGAAGGUUGUUUUGUAAUACUUUGACCUAUCCGGUCAUCGGAUCACCAUUACUAGAUGGUUAUAUCGAUUAGUAUAGAAAGUUGUUCUUAUACUAUCGACCUAAGUUCAAACCUAUGGGAUCACACAUAUUAGAAGAUUUGGUCAGAUCAGAUGGCUGAAGAGUCCAAUUGGAUUGUGACUCUGGUGAGGAGUCCUACUGGGACUGGGACUCUGGAGUAGAGUCCCACUAGGAUUAGGACCUACUACUUUUAUAAAAUUUAUUAGUAAUUAGAUUACUAAUUAACUCAAUUUGAUUGAGCAAAGAGCUUUGGAUCAAAUCUAAUUGAAUGAGAUUCAGUUCGACUCAGAUUGGAUUUGAUAUGAUCAAUCCUGAUUACAAAAAAAAUCUGAUCCUGAUUCGAUCAAAGUUUGGACUUAACUAAUUUCUAAUUGGAUUAAAAAUUUGAUGAGAUAUUUGGGUUUCUAAUUGGAUUAGAUUCAUUUUUAUUAGGAGGUUCAAUUCAAAUUUGAUUUGGAUUAGAAUCAGAAUUAAAAAUGAAGAGUCCUUGUCAACUUAGACUCUAUCCUUAUCUCUUGCGCCACUCCUAAACCCAUGAUAGUUUCUCCACGCCUAAUUGGAUUUGGGUUGUGAUUUUUGGUAUCAUGAUAGAGGGUCCAAUAAGAGUGGAUGGUAAUAUUUGAUGAGUCAUAAUCUUAUCUCUUACCUAAUUCCAAUGCUAUCUGAAUUAGAGAUAAGAUAUAAACUAGGAAAAAGAUUUUUCAUACAUGAAAUAUUGUAGGUGCUAUAUUAUUUUUUUCUUAUUUUUCUUGGAGAAUCCUUUAGUCUGUGAGACUUUAGAAUCCUUCUCCACAUCCUAGUGAUUUUUUUAAAAUUUUUUGAGAUGCCAAAAGGUGAUUUUGGCAUGGACUAUUGGUGCCCUUCCUUGUAAAAACCCUAAUUCUUAGUCUAUAUAAAGGGAUCCUCUCUCUUGGACAUCCUAUGAUCAAUUCUCUUGCUGAUUUUUAUUUUCAGAGUCUCUUCUCCUCCUCCUCUCUUCCUCCUCUAGAUCCUCUCUUGCUUUAAAGUGUCCAAGUUGCUUGAAGAAGAAGGAAGAAAUCAACUGUCAAAGUUGCUUGCAGGCUAGCACCUCCAAGUCUCUGAUCUGC